GUGCCAUAGAGCUAUCAUUACAAUAGACUGAUCAGGAGAAGCCAUUGUUGGUUUGAAGAAGAAAAAAGAAGAUGAAUUGUUAGCGCAACAAUCCUAACAUCCCGAUUUUAUUAAUAGGUCAUUUAUUAAUUUAUUUGUGUUUAUUUAAUUAUGUGGCGUAUAACUUUCGUAAGUUAGUAUUUAUGAGUUUUAACCGUUUUUAAUUAAUUAGUGGGUUUAUGUGAAUUGGGCCUAGAGGGUGAUGAGAUGAGUAGAAUGAGGGGGUGUUAAUUGGAAAACAAACCCUUUGUAAUAAGCAAACUGUAUCUAUUAAAAAAAAAACAAAGAAAAGACUAGAAAAGAAAAGAAGAACAUGAGAUUGAAAGAAAAAUCAAGAGAGGAAGAACAAAAGCAUGGGAUUGAAGAAGAAGACUAAAGAAUCCAUCAUAGCUAAGGUUGUAUGUUUGUUGGUGUUCGAGUUGUUGGUGAAAGCUCUGCUCUGGUUGUGACACGGGGAAGGGUUUAUAGAGUAUUUAUUUGUUGUUGUUUUAUUUAAAUUAAAGGUGUAUCUUUUAUAAAAGGAUUUUGUGUAAAUGAUGAUUACUAAUUAAUUUUAUUAGUAGAGUUUUUAGUGAAGAAUGUAACACCUUGAACCAAUAUUUUAUAAUUCAUUUUUACUUUGA